rnacentral:rRNA from 1 species
UACGGGGGGUGCGAGCGUUGUCCGGAAUCACUGGGCGUAAAGGGCGCGUAGGUGGUUUGAUAAGGGUGUGGUGAAAGUCCGGGGCUCAACCCCGGAUCUGCCGUGCCGACUGUCAAACUCGAGGGCUGUAGAGGCAGACGGAAUUCCGGGUGUAGCGGUGGAAUGCGUAGAGAUCCGGAGGAAGACCGGUGGCGAAGGCGGUCGCGGG